rnacentral:tRNA from 1 species
GCCCGGGUGGCGGAAUGGCAGACGCGGCUGACUCAAAAUCAGCUGUCCGAAAGGGCGUGCGGGUUCAAAUCCCGCCCCGGGCA